CUGCAGGAGACAUCGGCGAGCUGCUAGUGCCCCACAUGCCCACGAUCCGCGUGCCCAGGUCCGGCGACAGGGUCUACAAGAACGAGUGCGCCUUCUCCUACGACUCUCCCAUCUAGAUACUGAUGACGAUUUAAAUAGCGACGAUUAUGAAUAUGAAGAUGAAGCCAAACUUGUUAUAUUCCCAGAUCACUAUGAAAUAGCACUACCAAAUAUUGAGGAGUUACCAGCCCUGGUAACAAUUGCUUGUGAUGCAGUUCUCAGCUCAAAAUCUCCAUACAGAAAGCAGGACCCAGACACGUGGGAAAAUGAAUUGCCAGUAUCUAAAUAUGCCAACAACCUCACCCAGCUGGACAAUGGAGUCAGGAUUCCUCCAAGUGGUUGGAAGUGUGCCAGAUGCGACCUGCGAGAAAACCUCUGGUUGAAUCUGACUGACGGCUCUGUCCUGUGUGGAAAGUGGUUCUUUGACAGCUCUGGGGGCAACGGGCAUGCGCUGGAGCAUUACAGAGACAUGGGCUACCCACUAGCCGUGAAACUGGGAACCAUCACUCC
rnacentral:lncRNA from 1 species